UUAUUGAGCUUGGGCAGAAAUUUCAGAAAAUAAAUCCUCAGAAAAGGAACACCGAACUCGUACCAGAGAAGUUGGCUGUAAGAGGAUCUGUGAUUUCUCUGAAGUGAUUCAAUGGUUACCAGCAGCAGUAGCCAGUUCCACUUGUGCUUUCAAUGGGAUUUCUAUGAAGUGAUUCAUUCAAUGGUUCCUGUGGGAAAUGAAAUCCGACAUUUUGGAUUCAAAUUUGGGUUCGGGUGAUAAAUUGGGGUUGUGCGUUCAAAAGUGUAGCUAUUGGUGUGGCUGUGAUUGGAAUGAGAAGGCUGCUUUGCAUGCCCCAUUUAUUCUUGUGGUGCUUCGAAGCGGGAUUUCAUUACGGAGAAAAUGUUACAGAAUGCGUGUUGUUGAUGAAAUCAAAUUUAUCCCAAAAUGCUUGAUAUUCGUUUCACAGCGGACACUUCCACGACUGGGAUGGAUGAUUGAACUUUGAAGAUAUUGGAAUCUCCUAUUUGAACCCAGAAGUCAAGAUAUCACGCCUUAGGAAAACAACAACUAAUAGCAUGCUUGAAGGAGUGAUGAGCGUUGAAACACUGAAAUCGGGAUGUCACAAGUGAAAAAGAAUCCUGCUCGGUUAUGUGAAGUUAAAAUCUAGUUUGAGUAGAAGUGGAAAAAAAAUGCAGCUUUUGGGAUCAGCCAAACACAUUGAUUUGUCUCUCAAGUGCAUAACUCAAGGUUGAAGUAUAUUGCGGUCUUAGCCAACUAAGGGUGGCACUUUCACUUGGACUCUUUAAAGAAUAGCUCAAUUGCGAGGGACCUCAUUCGAAUUAGUUGAAGAAUCUUUAUCGGGUGAAUUUGGCUAUUUCUUGAAGAGCAUAAUAGUUUAGAAAUAGAAGCUUUACAAGAGCACAUACAUAUAUGUUUUUCCUUAAAAUUGACUUUCAAUUUAAAAAGGUAAAACACUGAAGUCCUAAGCUGUUGAAUGUGAUCGCUUGGAUAAAAACUACUCGUGAACUUAUGCUUAGAAAAAGUCCAUUUAUUUAUUAGGGAUGGAAAAAAAAUUUGUAACAUGU